CAGUAGCCGCGGGAAUACGAAGGGGGCUAGCGUUGUUCGGAAUUACUGGGCGUAAAGCGCACGUGGGCGGAUAUUUAAGUCAGGGGUGAAAUCCCAGAGCUCAACUCUGGAACUGCCUUUGAUACUGGGCAUCUUGAGUAUGGAAGGGGUGAGUGGAAUUCCGAGUGUAGAGGUGAAAUUCGUAGAUAUUCGGAGGAACACCAGUGGCAAAGGCGGCUCACUGGUCCACUACUGACGCUGAGGUGCGAAAGCGUGGGGAGCAAACAGGAUUAGAUACCCGAGUAGUCCCUGUCUCUUAUAC
rnacentral:rRNA from 1 species